rnacentral:rRNA from 1 species
UACGUAGGGGGCAAGCGUUGUCCGGAUUCAUUGGGCGUAAAGAGCUCGUAGGCGGCUUGGCAAGUCGGGUGUGAAACCUCCAGGCUCAACCUGGAGACGCCACCCGAUACUGCUAUGGCUAGAGUCCGGUAGGGGACCACGGAAUUCCUGGUGUAGCGGUGGAAUGCGCAGAUAUCAGGAAGAACACCCGUGGCGAAGGCGGCUCUCUGGAACGCAACUGACGCUGAGACGCGAAAGCGUGGGGAGCAAACAGG